rnacentral:rRNA from 1 species
AACGAACGCUGGAGGCAGGCUUAACACAUGCAAGUCGAGCGCCCCGCAAGGGGAGCGGCAGACGGGUGAGUAACGCGUGGGAAUCUACCCAUCUCUACGGAAUAACGCAUGGAAACGUGUGCUAAUACCGUAUACGUCCUUCGGGAGAAAGAUUUAUCGGAGCUGGAUGAGCCCGCGUUGGAUUAGCUAGUUGGUGGGGUAAAGGCCUACCAAGGCGACGAUCCAUAGCUGGUCUGAGAGGAUGAUCAGCCACACUGGGACUGAGACACGGCCCAGGCUCCUACGGGAGGCAGCAGUGGGGAAUAUUGGACCAUGGGCGCAAGCCUGAUCCAGCCAUGCCGCGUGGGUGAUGAAGGCCCUAGGGUUGUAAAGCUCUUUCACCGGUGAAGAUAAUGACGGUAACCGGAGAAGAAGCCCCGGCUAACUUCGUGCCAGCCGCCGCAGUAAAAC